rfam:Enterococcus durans ATCC 6056 genomic scaffold acyDB-supercont2.6, whole genome shotgun sequence.
AUGACGUAUCAGUUGUUUAUGGUAUCUCCACAAGCAACUUCCUUUGUCCAUGACCUUCUUCGUUUCACGAGAAACGAAGAGAAAAAGGGAAUUGUUUUUGAUCGGAACGAGCAAGAUCAGAAAAUUAAUUGACAAGGGAAGAGAGGAGUUAA